UAUUAUGGCUUAGUGAAUAUAGCAUUCGUCUAGGAAACGAGAGGUCGCGGGUUAGAAUCUCGGCCGAUUCAU